rnacentral:rRNA from 1 species
UACGUAGGGUGCAAGCGUUAAUCGGAAUUACUGGGCGUAAAGCGUGGGCAGGCGGUUUUGUAAGUCUGACGUGAAAGCCGGGCUUAACCUGGGUAUUGCGUUGGAGACUGCAAGGCUUGAAUCUGGCAGAGGGGGGUAGAAUUCCACGUGUAGCAGUGAAAUGCGUAGAGAUGUGGAGGAACACCGAUGGCGAAGGCAGCCCCCUGGGUCAAGACUGACGCUCAUGCACGAAAGCGUGGGGAGCAAACAGG